AACCUCCGCAAUGUGAGAAAUCGCGACGGGGGGAUCCCAAGUGCCAUUCUUAACGGGAUGGCUUUUCAUUAGUGUAAAGAGCUUUUGGAAUAAGAGCUGGGCAAGACCGGUGCCAGCCGCCGCGGUAACACCGGCAGCUCUAGUGGUAACAAUUUUUAUUGGGCCUAAAGCGUCCGUAGCCGGUUUAAUAAGUCUCUGGUGAAAUCCUGCAGCUUAACUGUGGGAAUUGCUGGAGAUACUAUUAGACUUGAGACCGGGAGAGGUUAGAGGUACUCCCAGGGUAGAGGUGAAAUUCUGUAAUCCUGGGAGGACCGCCUGUUGCGAAGGCGUCUAACUGGAACGGUUCUGACGGUGAGGGACGAAAGUUAGGGGCGCGAACCGGAUUAGAUACCCGGGUAGUCCUAACUGUAACGAUGCGGACUUGGUGUUGGGGUGGCUUUGAGCUGCUUCAGUGCCGAAGGGAAGCUGUUAAGUCCGCCGCCUGGGAAGUACGGUCGCAAGACUGAAACUUAAAGGAAUU
rnacentral:rRNA from 1 species